rnacentral:rRNA from 1 species
UACGUAGGGUGCAAGCGUUAAUCGGAAUUACUGGGCGUAAAGCGUGCGCAGGCGGUUGUGUAAGACAGAUGUGAAAUCCCCGGGCUCAACCUGGGAACUGCAUUUGUGACUGCACGGCUGGAGUGCGGCAGAGGGGGAUGGAAUUCCGCGUGUAGCAGUGAAAUGCGUAGAUAUGCGGAGGAACACCGAUGGCGAAGGCAGCCUUCUGGGCCAACACUGACGCUCAUGCACGAAAGCGUGGGGAGCAAACAGG